UGGGGAAUAUUGCACAAUGGGCGCAAGCCUGAUGCAGCCAUGCCGCGUGUGUGAAGAAGGCCUUCGGGUUGUAAAGCACUUUCAGCGAGGAGGAAGGUGGUGAACUUAAUACGUUCAUCAAUUGACGUUACUCGCAGAAGAAGCACCGGCUAACUCCGUGCCAGCAGCCGCGGUAAUACGGAGGGUGCAAGCGUUAAUCGGAAUUACUGGGCGUAAAGCGCACGCAGGCGGUUUGUUAAGUCAGAUGUGAAAUCCCCGGGCUCAACCUGGGAACUGCAUUUGAAACUGGCAAGCUAGAGUCUCGUAGAGGGGGGUAGAAUUCCAGGUGUAGCGGUGAAAUGCGUAGAGAUCUGGAGGAAUACCGGUGGCGAAGGCGGCCCCCUGGACGAAGACUGACGCUCAGGUGCGAAAGCGUGGGGCAGCAAACAGGAUUAGAUACCCUGGUAGUCCACGCUGUAAACGAUGUCGAUUUUGGAGGUUGUGCCCUUGAGGCGUGGCUUCCGGAGCUAACGCGUUAAAUCGACCGCCUGGGGAGUACGGCCGCAAGGUUAAAACU
rnacentral:rRNA from 1 species